GCGGGAGGCACCGGAGCCCGGCUGCGCGGAGGGGCGCGGGGCGGCGCGGCGGGCGCCCGUGCGGAGCGGAGCGGCGCGGAGCGGAGCGGCGCGGCGCUGCCGGGCGAACAAAGCGGGGCCGGGCCGGGGCCGCCGCCGGCCCGCCCCCGCCGCCGCGUUUGCUCCGGUCCCUCGAUUGUUUCGCUCUGACCGAGAGCUCUGCGCGCAGUCCCUCGUGCGGCCGGCCGCGUCCCCCUCUCGGGCUUGCGGCGAGCGACUGUCCGCCGCAGUCCCGCCCGGCAGCGGGGAGGAAACCUCCACGCUAGAACGUUGUCACCUCCGAUUCAUCACCCAGCAACAUCUGACACUUCAAAGCCUGGGACGGCUCUCUCCGCUGCCUGCCUCUGCCCUGAACUGACAGACGAAACAUCUUGAACAGACUUUCCCUGCUUACUGAGCCGAGUGAUUUGUUACGAUGGAUUUUGCUUGGACCUGGUAGGUGUGCGUGCUGAUGGAUGUUGAUUUUGGGUCUUUUCGGUAAAUCUCAACUCACACUUCUUAGUGGGUAUUGUAUGCUCCGGGGGAAAACUUUCCUCUCCCCUUCGUCCAGUGUUAGCGUCAGAUUGCCACAGAAACUCAUUCUUCCUCCGAGUCAAAGCAGCUCCUUGAGCAAGUACUUCUGAUACAGUCAGUGAGAGGAUGCUGGUGUUGCGGGGUAUCUUUGCCUAAAUUUCUUACUCUGAAACCUGAACCAAGUCACCUGUUCGCAUAAGUCAGAAGUGUCUUUGCUGGCAGUGAGCAUCUAGUGCCCUGUUUUCUGGGGGUGAAUACCUUUACUCUCGCUUUGAAUAGGGUCUGUUGUUUGUUUAACUUGCAGUAUUUCAAUAGAGCUUUGUUUAUUUGUUUUUCGUGAAUGCCUGUCUACUUACAUCCUAUUAUAGGCAAGUAUUCUGCUUCUCAGAAGUCAACAGGUACUUUGCCAUUGACUUAAUUUUAGUAGUUUGGGAGAUUUUUUAAAUCUCUGUUAGUUUUGGCUGUGUAAAUAUCUGUUAUUUCUUCAUAAAUCUCUGUACAGGAUAUCUAAGAGAUAUAAUUCGUAUUGGGGGUGUAUCUGAAGCAGAGGGACAAGGGCCCUGGAGACAGAGUGAAUAUACUUUGCAUGUUAGAGUCUUCAAAAAUURUCAUGUUUCUUAUGAGCCCAUCCAAAGCCUUUUCAAGUUAGUAGGAGAUUUCCCUACUUCCUUGAUUAGUAAAGAAAAUAUUCAGAGUUUUGAAUAGUUAUUACAAUAUAUUUGGAACUAAGAGACCUUUUAUAGGCAAAAUAUUGUUUUUCCUCAAAUUAGUAAUAAAACAUUGAACAGAUGGACUUCA
rnacentral:lncRNA from 1 species